AAAGUGCAAUAGAUCCGUAAUUUCGACUUACGUGACAGCUUAAAAGGCUGCACUUAA
rnacentral:tRNA from 1 species